GAGAAAUUUACACAUUUAUUGUUUUAAAGGGAUAAUAAAAACCCUUUCAGGCCCCGAAGUAACACUUAGCUCUAUAAUAAAGGUUGAUUAAAGAAAACCUGCUGUAUAUAAAGUAGGUGGUUCUCUUUCCUGCCGGGCCUCGUGGCCAGGGGUCAAAAGAAUUUCCCCAGCAAUACGCCGGGUGUCCGGGGCCUGAAUGGCUGUCGCUGUCGCUAUCGCCUGUCGCCUGGCCGGCGCCCUGAUGGCCACACACGCGCGCGUGCACACACACAAACAUGCGCGCGCGCACACGAGUGCACACGCGCGCACAACACUUUCCUGGACUCAGGAAGUAGCCUUUGUUCCCAGUGCCCCAGUGCGGUCGGUUCGGAGGGCCCCGAGCCCCUCCAAGUGCGGGCGCCCCGGGCUCGGGUAGCCUCGUCUCGGGGGCUCCACGCGCUGCGCCCUCGGGGCUCCAACGGCCACGGAGCCGGAGCGGCAUCCACGCGCUCUCCCCGCCGCCCUCCGCCCCCGGAUUUCCUCCAGGCGCACCGACACUUGGGCGCCUUUCCGGGCCCCACGCGCGCCCCCCGCGCCGCCGAGCCGCUCACCUCGCCCUUUGUCCCCGCCGCGCCGGCCCGGCCCUGCUGCCCGGCUGCGCACUGCGCUCUGCGGCCGCACGCAAAGCCCGGAGCCUAGGGCGCUGAGGCCACGACCCCCGACCCCGCCGCCCGCGCUCCGCUCUCCGGGUCUUCGGGGCGGCCCGAGCUGGGCCAGGAGGGUCGCUUGUCCUGGCCCGGGGUCCCUGCGGGCCACGCUACAGCCAGGACGGGGCGGACAGCGACGGCGCCACGCUGGGCCUGGGCCUGGACCCCAGCAGCGCGGUUGAAACACUUUAGAUUUACAUGCAAGUAGGGAAAGCGGCCCACACUGCAGCAGUGAAGGGACACAGCAGCCUCCUGACUACAGUGGAACUGUUUUCCAUACUGGGGAUGGAACCCAGGAACUUCAAGGCACCGCAGGCUUCACUCCACCCUCGGCCCUCAGUUGGGGUCAGUGCUGCUGGUGAGAAUGGGAGGACAGGAAACACACGUGGACAGCCGGAAAGCCGCAGGAAGCGCCCGUCUGUGUACCUCAAGCCGUUUCCAGUCGUGUUCUACUUUCCCGCCACUUGUUUCCAUAGCAAACAGGCUUCUCACUGGCUUGCGGGUAAAGUUCAUUCUCUCACAAUAAAUCUCUCCAGGCCAGAUGAGGUGGUGUACGUCCGUGAUUCCAGAACUGUGGGAGGCUGAGGCAGGAGGAUCAGAAGUUUGAGCUCAGUGUGGGCAACUUAGUGACUGUCUCAAAAUAUUUUUUUUUAAAGGAGUGGGUAUGCAGCUCAUUGUGAAGCCCCUGGGUUCAAUCCCCAGAAUUGGGGAAAAAAGAAAAGAACGAAUGUCUACACUCCAACUCGGGCUGUGCUCUCUGUUCCCCAACUUUUCUGGCGAGGAAUGGCCUCUCCCAGCGGAGGGAAGGCUCGAGCUCGGCUCUCGCGAGGGCGGUGUUAGCUCUGCGUCUGCCCAGACCCGGCAGCACACCGUGCUCGGGGCUGGGAGUGGCGCUGUCUUCCCUGUGCUCCUCUUGGGAAGACGACCGCUGGGCCCCAGCCGCAGGGUCAGCUGGCCUUGCCGCGCGGGCCCAGGCAGGAGGUGCACACCCGCCCCAGACCAGGCCCGCAGGUGGCAGCUCCGCGUUUGAAGCCAGGGGCUGAAAUCCGGCGGCACCCUGCAACCGCGUUACCAGGUGCCAGAGCCUGGCACUCCGGCCCUGAGCCGCUCCCCGGGGAAGCGGCGCCCCCUGGUGGGCAGUUGAGGAAGCGACUCCCUGAGUCCCGGGGCCCCAUCUCCAGGGAGAGAGCCAGAGACCACCGACGCAGUGCCUGGAAAGUGAACAUGAAUUUUUGUUUGGUUUGGUUUGGUUUGGCUUUUUGAGACAGGGUCCCGCUACUGUAGUUCAGCCUGGCCUUGCACUCACUAUGUAGCCCAGGCUGGCCUCGAACUCACCGAGAUCCUUCUGCCGCAGCCUCCUAAGUGCUGGGAUGACAGGCAUGCGCCAUAUCUGGCUUGUUUUGUUUUGUGAGACGGGGUCCCACUAUGUAGCCCAGGUUGACCUCGAACUCACAGCGAUCCUACUGCAUCAGCCCCCUGAGUGUUCAGUGUGGCUGCAUCAGAGAGACCAGUGCAACAAGUGGGCCACAAUGAAUAAAGUGGUCAGGGGCUCCUGCCAGCGUAAACACAGCUCCUACCCACCAGCAGCAGGUCGGUGUACAGGGACAAAAUCCUAACAAGGUCCA
rnacentral:lncRNA from 1 species